UCGGACAGUCUGUCCGCUGGGGUUGGAGGAGUUCGGCUGCCGGGUUGUUUCUCGGAUCCGGCAGCCUUGCAGAGUGUGUUGUAAAACCCUUCCCCCGUCAAGAGGGGACCCAGCCAGCCUGCGUCCUGCCAGCUCGGGGGACCGGAGGCGGGUGUCAGUGGUUAGAGGAAAACUUUCCAGCAGAGCGCCUGGCCGCCUUGCCGGAGCAAACCUGGCAUCUGUCAAGAACGCUCUCUGUGCGCUCUUCCUGCAAGGAGCUUCUGUUCCAGUGCAGUAGACGCAGAAGGCAAGCGAAGGUUUGUGCAUCUGAACAGCUAACGCUGAGGACCAGUUGGAAAAUCACAGGCUCCUCAGCCCCAGCUAAUUACUACCUCCAGCAGCACCGCUAUAGGCCACGGCAUAAAGCAGAAAACUCUUUGUUUUAUGCAAAACCAAGGGUGGCAAAGAAGGCAGCUUCCAACGAGUGGAAAUUGGAUAAUUGAAUCAAUGUGUUCUUUUUUAAAAGCGAGAGGAUGUAGUAAAGGAUCUAAUUUGGACUGAGGGCAAGCAGAAUGGCUUCUCAUGUUUCACACUAAAGAUGGCCCCCAGAUAAGUGACACGCAGACCCUGGUGAGAACAGUCACCUUUGUUGUAGGAUUACAGCCAGGCACAAAGUCACGAAUGCCACAGGCUGACUGUGGUCAGAUCAAGACGUCAUGUAUGCUGACAUCGUGCUGGACUUCGUAGACGAUACUCAGAUGUGGCGCUGGAUGUGAACCCGGUCCCAAGAAGCAGAUCUUCGCUUUGGGCAGAAAGAAUCAAACCCAUUAGAAAGGGGGCUAAGAAGCUGGAUAAUUGACAACAGCAACAAAUCCAAAAGUGAUUUCCAGCUGGCUUUGGAACGCAGCUGCUCUGACUUGCUAAUUACCUUGCUUCCCCCUGGACGCACAUCACACAUCGCCAAGGCCAGGUGGGAAACUGUCACGGACAGUAGGAAGAAUCCCUUUCUGUGGUAGAGCGGAAGAAGAGUCUGGAAGACCAGGCACAACCAGAUUCACUCUUUGGACCAAAGUCUUAUGAUGUAUCUAUUCUUAGAAGAGUAACACCCUAAGCCAUAGACUAGCUAUAUCUUCAGCAAUCAUUUGAAGCCCCACUUUGGACAGGGAGGGCACUGCUCAUGUGAUACAGAGGUUACCCGGAAGCUCAAAGGAGGCAAAUUGCGUGAAGGCACUUUGAAGAUUUUGUGGAGCACCAUCAGACUGCAUUACAGGCAUGGGUGCAGGAGAUGAAAUUAACAGUGAUCUCCAAUUGAUGCAGUGCUUUCAGACCAACAGAUGCAGGCACGACAGUGAAGCCCACAGUGGAGGACCUGCUCUGGAUCCACGGGCAGCCGAAGAUGGCCAGAGUUUGAGUGCCUCCUGCCCACAAAGCUGACUCCGGACAUCUUCCUCCUCGCCUGCAGAGCUCAGCCCUCUCCUUGCGGGGGGUGGGGUGGUUGGUCUCCCAAGGCUCAGUCAGUCACCCCAGGGCCAGCUUCCCCGACUCUGACCCAGCAGCUCCUCCCGGCUGGCCCACCGAGAUCUGUGCUCUCUGGAUUCAGAUGCCCAGCGGGUGGUUGCUGCCCUGGGAAAGCAGCAAGGAAUGGGCCAUCUACAACAGCGUUUUCAGGUCUGGAGACUGGGAGCUAGGAAAUAAGGAAAUCUGUUAAUUAAAGCACAACUGCUUUAUAGUAAUUGUAAAGGGCUUAAUUUUGGACUUCAGUAGAAAAAUGAGGUUCUGUAUCAAUGAAACUUAAUUGCCAUUCUAGUCUGAAUUAGAAAUGUGCUUACUUAGACGUCCUUAUGAUUAUUUUAUAGGCCGAGAAACAUAUUUCAUCCUGGCAAAAAAAAGUUACCAAUACUAACGAAUGAAACAGAACUAAGUUCAUUGUCUGAUAUGUUUACAGAUGGUAGGAAAUUAAAGUAAUACGUUACCAAUUUAAAUGUAGGGGGUAUAAUUCCAAUUCCAAUUUUCACUGCCAACUAUAAGAUGAUCUAUGUCAGGAGAAAUGACACUUAUGUUAUGAUGGCAGUCUGUAUUUUCACUUUAAAUCUUAGGAAUCUAAAAUCCUAGAAUUUUAGAAAAAAAAAAACUCUUGCUUUUUUUUUCAGGCAAAUGUGAUAUAUCAGGAGGCAGCUUGAAAAAUUUUGGAGACUUUAUCCUUAUCUUUAAAAAACUGGAAGAAACUUAAAUGAGUUCUAAUCAGUCUUAUUUUCAAUGUGUUGAGAAAUGUGGCUGCUAGAGUUUCCUUUGGGAGGUUAUUUGGUAAUGACUCACCACAGGAAACGACUACACAUUAAUUUAAGAAUCGUUAAAAAAAAAAAAACACCUUGACAACCCACCCCACGUGAUAUGUGUGGUAUGAUGUAUCUCUAUACAUUUUGUUUUUAGACAUUUAAACACAGAUCGGAGUCCUCUUUUUUCCUUUUCUGAAAGUUCAAAGUCUUUCCAAUUUCCAGUAUCUUAAACACUCUCGGCACAAAUGGAAGUUUUAUUUUAACAAGAACAGGGCAUUCUUGAACUAGGCAUUCGCUCGCUACUCUAUCUACCUGUUGUACCUCCAACACUGGAGAUGGUUUAACCACAAGUGUCUCUGUCUGUGCUGUGAGGACUUCAGCAGGAUUCUUGAAAUGAUACUCUUCAACUUCUACUUUCAGAUUGCUUACCACAGAAAUCGUUUCUGUUUCUAAAUCCAUCACUUUAAUUUGAUGAUUAUUGGUGUCUGCUACAUAUAAUAACUGGCCAUUCUCUCCAAUACACAAGCCUCCUGGUUCAUUAAAAGUUGACUCGGUGAAGCUGGAAGUGAUAACGUUA